GACGAACGCUGGCGGCGUGCUUAACACAUGCUAGUCGAACGGUGAAGGGAUCAGCUUGCUGGUUCUGGAUGAGUGGCGAACGGGUGAGUAACACGUGAGUAACCUGCCCCCUUCUUCUGGAUAACCGCAUGAAAGUGUGGCUAAUACGGGAUAUUCUGGGUCUGUCGCAUGAUGGGUCUGGGAAAGAUAUUGUUUCGGUGGGGGAUGGGCUCGCGGCCUAUCAGCUUGUUGGUGGGGUGAUGGCCUACCAAGGCGGUGACGGGUAGCCGGCCUGAGAGGGUGGACGGUCACACUGGGACUGAGACACGGCCCAGACUCCUACGGGAGGCAGCAGUGGGGAAUAUUGCACAAUGGGCGCAAGCCUGAUGCAGCGACGCCGCGUGAGGGAGGGAGGCCUUCGGGUUGUAAACCUCUUUCGCCAGUGAAGCAGGCCUGCUCCUUGUGGGUGGGUUGACGGUAGCUGGAUAAGAAGCGCCGGCUAACUACGUG
rnacentral:rRNA from 1 species